UACCUGCAGCCCGAGUGGUGCUCGUUAUUAUUGGGUCUAAAACGUCCGUAGUCUGCCACGUAGAUGCCCGGGUAAAUCGCAGCGCUCAACGUUGCGAAUUCCGGGUAGACCGCGCGGCUAGGGAUUGGGAGAGGUGCAUAGUACUCUGAGGGUAGGGGUAAAAUCCUGUAAUCCUUGGGGGACUACCAGUGGCGAAGGCGAUGCACUAGAACAAGUCCGACGAUCAGGGACGAAGCCCUGGGGCGCAAACGGG
rnacentral:rRNA from 1 species